rnacentral:rRNA from 1 species
UACGGGGGGGGCAAGCGUUGUUCGGAAUUACUGGGCGUAAAGGGCUCGUAGGCGGCCAACUAAGUCGGAUGUGAAAUCCCUGGGCUCAACCCAGGAACUGCGUCCGAUACUGGUUGGCUUGAAUCCGGGAGAGGGAUGUGGAAUUCCAGGUGUAGCGGUGAAAUGCGUAGAUAUCUGGAGGAAUACCGGUGGCGAAGGCGGCAUCCUGGACCAUUACUGACGCUGAGGCGCGAAAGCUAGGGGAGCAAACGGG